rnacentral:rRNA from 1 species
UACGAGUGCUCCAAGCGUUAUCCGGAAUCAUUGGGCGUAAAGCGUGCGCAGGCGGUUCGCCAAGUCAGGUGUGAAAUCCCCGGGCUUAACCUGGGAAUUGCGCUUGAAACUAGCGGGCUUGAGUGUGGCAGAGGGGGGUGGAAUUCCACGUGUAGCAGUGAAAUGCGUAGAGAUGUGGAGGAACACCGAUGGCGAAGGCAGCCCCCUGGGUCAACACUGACGCUCAUGCACGAAAGCGUGGGGAGCAAACAGG